rnacentral:lncRNA from 1 species
UCAGCCUUUGGGGGGUGGGGGGGGGCCGUGUGAACCCCAAAACCUCGGUAAUUCGGCAAUCGCCCAACGUUUCUGCGUUUUUCAGGAGUUGGAAAACACAAAGGGAAAGGUUUUUCUGCUCAAAGUUCCGAAGUUUCAUGGCGUGCUGGGGGUUUGGGGUUGCUCGUCUGUGUUCCUUGUCGCACCAUAGCGCCGAGGGCAGCACGGGCUGCUCUCAAACACGAGGUUUAUUUUUAUAAGUUUACUAGAAGCUUUUAAAUUACCUGCAUUCAUUGUAAGGUAACCCUAGCCAUUUGUAGAAGAGGGAAAGAUUUGCCACGUAACGCCUUUCCUCUCAGCAGCUUCUCACCAGGAACACCAAAUCCUCAGCUUUAUUCAUAAUAGGAUGCUAAAAGUGGUUUGUUUUUUUUUUAAUAAAAUGUAAUUUUGCAUGGAAGUGGGUUUAAUUUUGCUUUAAUUAUACAAGCGAAACAAGAUCUGGAAAUGGCAUGUGUCCCAACAAACCAAAUUGCUAGGUAAAUUGGUUUUACUAUAAUUUGAUAACAAGAAAUUGCCUCUGAAGCUGAGAUCUUGCACGCCCUGUUGCUAAAACAGAUUAACACAAACUUUUACAGCUAAAUUAUAAACCUGUGAAAGGUUUACUUCCAACCAGAAAGGGCUAUUAAUAGCAUUGCAAGCAGUGGCGCUAGGAUAAUAUUAGUAACAACAUUUGUAUAUUGUUUUAUAGAUGCACCAGGUUGCUCUGUGUAUUUAUGGGAACGGCUAAAGUCGUCUCAGAAUUUUGGAUGUUGCUGAAGGGGAGGGUGCUGGCUCCAGUCCUGAUGGCAAGGAGAGUUUUCCAUGGCUCCGGUGACGGGUGGCGUGCCCUGUGUGUGGUUGAAGCAGUGCACCCAACACCCCCUGUUUACACCCCAGCACAGGCUCCGGCAGUCUCUGCUGGCUUCUGGAUUGUCAGAUGGAAUAUGAUGCAUGAUGUCCUAAAUGGGUUGAUUCCUGGUUACCUGAAGGAGAGAGACUGA